UACGAAGGGGGCUAGCGUUGCUCGGAAUCACUGGGCGUAAAGCGCACGUAGGCGGAUUGUUAAGUCAGGGGUGAAAUCCUGGAGCUCAACUCCAGAACUGCCUUUGAUACUGAGGAGCUUGAGUCCGGGAGAGGUGAGUGGAACUGCGAGUGUAGAGGUGAAAUUCGUAGAUAUUCGCAAGAACACCAGUGGCGAAGGCGGCUCUCUGGGACGGUACUGACGCUGAGACGCGAAAGCGUGGGGAGCGAACAGGA
rnacentral:rRNA from 1 species